rnacentral:lncRNA from 1 species
UUUUAUUUUAUUUAUUUUAUUUUAUUUUUUUAUUUUUUUUUUUUUUUUAUUUUAUUUUAUUUUAUAGAAGACAUUUUAGACCUCUUUGAUUUCCUAGGUGGUACAGGUAUUUCUAUGGCAUUCUCAUCACUUUGGUACUAUUAAGGUCUCAAUUAUUAAUAUUAAACAUUUUAUUACAAGUUCCAAAAGGGAACAUCAUUACGCCAUUCUAAGACUUAGUCUGUAUAUUCAGAGAUAUUUUACAAAAUACGUUAUGAUUUUAUGUUUGCAAAUUAGCAUUAGACAUAGGAAUAUUUCCUGAUAAUUGUAACUCUAUCUUCUAACCUCUUAAUGUAAACACUUAGAGUAUUCAGAGACAUACUGAAUAUUUUUCUCAAUUGUACUUUUUUCCUACAAUGUUAACAAGGGUUCUACAUGUACUUUUUUUGUAUAUACUUAAUAAGGAUUCUAAUAAUUUUUUUCUAGGAAAACAGAAGACAAAGCAAAUAAGAAUAUUUGAAAAAUUUAGUCAGAAUUAUCCUAUACCGAUUUACCCAUUCAACUUGAAAGUGCUCUAAAAUUUGUUACUUAAGAUUUGGGCAACUUUGUUGAAAGUUGGCUUUACCAAAUAUACAUGACUUAAUCCAGUAUUCCAGUAUUUUAGGCCCAACCUAAAUUACUUUCCUACUUUAUCUACCUCUCUAUUUCAAUCACAGUAAGCUGGAUGCCCACUCCUGCUGGAUGUCGGGCCUCUACAAUAUAUGUCUACUCUCUUAUUUAAUACAUAUCUCAAUCUUUACCAAUCACUGGAAGGCUUAAGAACUCCAGUAAUCUUUUCUCCAUGCUAUCAGUAUUUAUGGUGUAAUUAUCUAAUAUUCCACUUUAAAACUCUGUGUGUGCAUGUCAUUUUAAAAUGUUAUUGUGCUACAAGAGGGAAAACUUGCCUUGAAUGUCUUAGAAUAUUCUCAAGGGCAAAUAAUAUUUUCUCUAUUUUGUUUUAUCUAUUGAAUUCAGUAGCAAGCUUAGCCCUGGGAGAAAGUAUACAUUGAUUACUCUCCGGAAAUUUACUUUGAGCAUCCAUUUAUCUACUUCUCUACAUGACAAUGUUCCACUCAGACCCCCAUUCUCCUGGUGAUGCCCCAUAUUGUGUAAUUGUGCCUUUGCUCAGCUUUAUAUUCUCAAUUGGCUAAAAGUAAUCUGAUAAACAUCUUAGGGAUUGUAGAAUAAAACUGAUAAGAGAUUGAGGUAUCAAGCCCUGAAAGGUGUGCUGUGAUUUUAGAGAAUACUUAUUCAGUGUGCUAUUUAAGGCAGGGAAAUAAAGCAGGUGAAAGAUCGUUUUGAGCAAGAAAACAUGUUAGUAUAUCCUUAAAUGUCAUCAUGAAAGGAACCAACUACUUUGACAAAUACAGGGCUUUUUAAUAUAGGAGUAGAGUAAGAAAUUAAGGAAGACAAUACCUUGAGUGAAUGAUUUAAAUUUCCACCUCCUAUACUUCAAAGAGUGCCUCUCUUGGAAAGUACUGUACAUCUAUUCCAAGGUCCUGAAAUAGUUCCUGACACAUGGCAAGUGCUUAUCAAUUGUUUUAUGAAUUAAUAAUAUAGGCACUGAUUACAAAAUGGAUGGCAGUUCUGUAAAGGAGAGGCUCUGAUUAGUUCGCUAGCUCUUUAAUUAAAUAUAUACUUAUGUAUAGUCUUUGCUUU